rnacentral:rRNA from 1 species
GAUGAACGCUGGCGGCGUGCCUAAUACAUGCAAGUCGAGCGAACAGACGAGGAGCUUGCUCCUUCGACGUUGGCGGCGGACGGGUGAGUAACACGUAGGUAACCUACCUAUAAGACUGGGAUAACUUCGGGAAACCGGAGCUAAUACCGGAUAAUAUUUCGAACCGCAUGGUUCGAUAGUGAAAGAUGGCUUUGCUAUCACUUAUAGAUGGACCUGCGCCGUAUUAGCUAGUUGGUAAGGUAACGGCUUACCAAGGCAACGAUACGUAGCCGACCUGAGAGGGUGAUCGGCCACACUGGAACUGAGACACGGUCCAGACUCCUACGGGAGGCAGCAGUAGGGAAUCUUCCGCAAUGGGCGAAAGCCUGACGGAGCAACGCCGCGUGAGUGAUGAAGGUCUUCGGAUCGUAAAACUCUGUUAUUAGGGAAGAACAAACGUGUAAGUAACUGUGCACGUCUUGACGGUACCUAAUCAGAAAGCCACGGCUAACUACGUG